GCCGGGGGAUGCAAUCGUUAUCCGGAAUCACUGGGCGUAAAGCGUCUGUAGGUGGUGAUGCAAGUCACUGGUGCAAAACUCUGGCUCAACCGGAGGAAAGCCAGUGAAACUGCAUGACUAGAGUGUGGGAGAGGUAGAAGGAAUUCCCUGAGUAGCGGUGAAAUGCGUAGAUACAGGGAAGAACACCGGAGGCGAAAGCGUUCUACUGGAACACAACUGACUCUGAGAGACGAAAGCUAGGGGAGAGAAUGGG
rnacentral:rRNA from 1 species